GUGGGGAAUUUUGGACAAUGGGGGAAACCCUGAUCCAGCCAUCCCGCGUGUGCGAUGAAGGCCUUCGGGUUGUAAAGCACUUUUGUCAGGGAAGAAAAGGUUCUGGCUAAUAUCCGGAACUGAUGACGGUACCUGAAGAAUAAGCACCGGCUAACUACGUGCCAGCAGCCGCGGUAAUACGUAGGGUGCAAGCGUUAAUCGGAAUUACUGGGCGUAAAGCGUGCGCAGGCGGUUCGGAAAGAAAGAUGUGAAAUCCCAGGGCUCAACCUUGGAACUGCAUUUUUAACUCCCGGACUAGAGUAUGUCAGAGGGGGGUGGAAUUCCACGUGUAGCAGUGAAAUGCGUAGAUAUGUGGAGGAACACCGAUGGCGAAGGCAGCCCCCUGGGAUAAUACUGACGCUCAUGCACGAAAGCGUGGGGAGCAAACAGGAUUAGAAACCCUAGUAGUCC
rnacentral:rRNA from 1 species